rnacentral:ncRNA from 10 species
AAAAAUCAUCAAGAGUGAGAUUAGGUUCUCCUCCAACCUGCCAACUCCGGCAAGGUGGAAAAAAGAUGAGGUUAAUCAACAAGUAUAGGAGUGUUA